rnacentral:rRNA from 1 species
UUUUCCGCCUGAUCCUGCCGGACCCCACUGCUAUCGGGAUGGGACUAAGCCAUGCUAGUCAAGCGCUCUUUAGCCAUGAUACGAGUGCGGCGCACAGCUCAGUAACACGUAGCUAACCUGCCCUCGGGACGGAGAUAACCCCGGGAAACUGGGGCUAAUACUCGAUAGGUGAGGGGGCCUGGAAUGGUUUCUCGCCUAAAGGAUGUGGAGCCAUGCUUCCAAUAUCGCCCGAGGAUGGGGCUGCGGCCGAUCAGGUAGUUGGUGAGGUAACGGCUCACCAAGCCUUUAACCGGUACGGGCCGUGAGAGCGGGAGCCCGGAGAUGGGCACUGAGACAAGGACCUAGGCCCUACGGGGCGCAGCAGUCGCGAAAACUCCGCAAUGCGCGCAAGCGCGACGGGGCUACCCCGAGUGCCGUCCGCUGAGGAUGGCUUUUCUCUGGUGUAAUGAGCCGGAGGAAUAAGGGGAGGGCAAGACUGGUGUCAGCCGCCGCGGUAAUACCAGCUCCCCGAGUGGUGGGGAUGUUUAUUUGGCCUAAAGCGUCCGUAGCCUGCUCAGUAAGUCCUCCGUUAAAUCCAACGAUCUAAUCGUUGGGCUGCGGGGGAUACUGCAGGGCUAGGGGGCGGGAGAAGUCGACGGUACUCUUGGGGUAGGGGUGAAAUCCUAUAAUCCCAGGAGGACAACCAGUGGCGAAGGCGGUCGGCUAGAACGCGCCCGACGGUGAGGGACGAAAGCGUGGGGAGCGAUCCGGAUUAGAUACCCGGGUAGUCCACGCUGUAAACGAUGCAGGCUAGGUGUUGGCGUGACUACGGGUCACGCUAGUGCCGCAGGGAAGCCGUUAAGCCUGCCGCCUGGGAAGUACGGUCGCAAGACUGAAACUUAAAGGAAUUGGCGGGGGAGCACCACAAGGGGUGAAGCUUGCGGUUCAAUUGGAUUCAACGCCGGGAAUCACUAGU